rnacentral:rRNA from 1 species
GUCGAACGGAAAGGCCCCUUCGGGGGUACUCGAGUGGCGAACGGGUGAGUAACACGUGGGUAAUCUGCCCUGCACUUCGGGAUAAGCCUGGGAAACUGGGUCUAAUACCGGAUAGGACCUCGAGGCGCAUGCCUUGUGGUGGAAAGCUUUUGCGGUGUGGGAUGGGCCCGCGGCCUAUCAGCUAGUUGGUGGGGUGACGGCCUACCAAGGCGACGACGGGUAGCCGGCCUGAGAGGGUGUCCGGCCACACUGGGACUGAGAUACGGCCCAGACUCCUACGGGAGGCAGCAGUGGGGAAUAUUGCACAAUGGGCGCAAGCCUGAUGCAGCGACGCCGCGUGGGGGAUGACGGCCUUCGGGUUGUAAACCUCUUUCAGCAGGGACGAAGCGCAAGUGACGGUACCUGCAGAAGAAGCACCGGCCAACUACGUGCCAGCAGCCGCGGUAAUACGUAGGGUGCGAGCGUUGUCCGGAAUUACUGGGCGUAAAGAGCUCGUAGGUGGUUUGUCGCGUUGUUCGUGAAAUCUCACGGCUUAACUGUGAGCGUGCGGGCGAUACGGGCAGACUGGAGUACUGCAGGGGAGACUGGAAUUCCUGGUGUAGCGGUGGAAUGCGCAGAUAUCAGGAGGAACACCGGUGGCGAAGGCGGGUCUCUGGGCAGUAACUGACGCUGAGGAGCGAAAGCGUGGGGAGCGAACAGGAUUAGAUACCCUGGUAGUCCACGCCGUAAACGGUGGGUACUAGGUGUGGGUUUCCUUCCUUGGGAUCCGUGCCGUAGCUAACGCAUUAAGUACCCCGCCUGGGGAGUACGGCCGCAAGGCUAAAACUCAAAGGAAUUGACGGGGGCCCGCACAAGCGGCGGAGCAUGUGGAUUAAUUCGAUGCAACGCGAAGAACCUUACCUGGGUUUGACAUGCACAGGACGCCGGCAGAGAUGUCGGUUCCCUUGUGGCCUGUGUGCAGGUGGUGCAUGGCUGUCGUCAGCUCGUGUCGUGAGAUGUUGGGUUAAGUCCCGCAACGAGCGCAACCCUUAUUUCAUGUUGCCAGCGGGUAAUGCCGGGGACUCGUGAGAGACUGCCGGGGUCAACUCGGAGGAAGGUGGGGAUGACGUCAAGUCAUCAUGCCCCUUAUGUCCAGGGCUUCACACAUGCUACAAUGGCCGGUACAAAGGGCUGCGAUGCCGCAAGGUUAAGCGAAUCCUUUUAAAGCCGGUCUCAGUUCGGAUCGGGGUCUGCAACUCGACCCCGUGAAGUCGGAGUCGCUAGUAAUCGCAGAUCAGCAACGCUGCGGUGAAUACGUUCCCGGGCCUUGUACACACCGCCCGUCACGUCAUGAAAGUCGGUAACACCCGAAGCCAGUGGCCUAACCCUUUGGGAGGGAGCUGUCGAAGGUGGGAUCGGCGAUUGGGACG